rnacentral:rRNA from 1 species
UACGUAGGGGGCAAGCGUUGUUCGGAAUUACUGGGCGUAAAGGGCGCGUAGGCGGCCCGGCAAGUCGGGAGUGAAAGCCCGGGGCUUAACCCCGGGUCUGCAUUCGAUACGGGCUAGCUAGAGUGUGGUAGGGGAGAUCGGAAUUCCUGGUGUAGCGGUGAAAUGCGCAGAUAUCAGGAGGAACACCGGUGGCGAAGGCGGAUCUCUGGGCCAUUACUGACGCUGAGGAGCGAAAGCGUGGGGAGCGAACAGG